rnacentral:piRNA from 1 species
UCAUGAGGGUGUUGUUGAGAAAAGCC